AUUGACCGCUAGAGGUAGGCCUAACACAUGCAAGUCGAACGAGUGGCGGACGGGUGAGUAAUAUCUUGGAAACUGCCUCAUAGAUGGGGAUAACUCCUGGAAACGGUAGCUAAUACCGCAUACCCUCGGAUCUGCCCAGAUGUGAUUAGCUAGUUGGUGGGGUAAAGGCUCACCAAGGCAACGAUCCCUAGCUGGUAUGAGAGGAUGACCAGCCACACUGGAACUGAGACACGGUCCAGACUCCUACGGUAGGCAGCAUGGGGGAAUAUUGGACAAUGGGGGCAAGCCUGAUGCAGCCAUGCCGCGUGUAUGAAGAAGGCCUUCGGGUUGUAAAGUACUUUCAGCAGGGAGGCGUUACCCGCAGAAGAAGCACCGGCUAACUCAGUGCCAGCAGCCGCGGUAAUAC
rnacentral:rRNA from 1 species